rnacentral:rRNA from 1 species
CGUGUAGGCGGUCGGUCAAGUCUGAUGUGAAAGCCCGGGGCUCAGCUCCGGAAGUGCAUUGGAAACUAGCCGACUGGAGCGCGAUAGAGGAGGGUGGAAUUCCUGGUGUAGCGGUGAAAUGCGUAGAUAUCAGGAGGAACACCGGCGGCGAAGGCGGCCCUCUGGAUCGUUGCUGACGCUGAGACGCGACAGCGUGGGGAGCAAACAGGAUUAGAUACCCUGGUAGUCCACGCCGUAAACUAUGGGUACUGGGUGUUCGGGGUGUUGACCCCCUGAGUGCCGCAGCUAACGCAUUAAGUACCCCGCCUGGGGACUACGGCCGCAAGGUUAAA